UAGCGGAGGGGGCUAGCGUUGUUCGGAAUUACUGGGCGUAAAGCGCACGUAGGCGGAUUUGUAAGUCAGGGGUGAAAUCCCGGGGCUCAACCUCGGAACUGCCUUUGAUACUGCAAAUCUCGAGUCCGGAAGAGGUGAGUGGAAUUCCUAGUGUAGAGGUGAAAUUCGUAGAUAUUAGGAAAGAACACCAGUGGCGAAGGCGGCUCACUGGUCCGGUACUGACGCUGAGGUGCGAAAGCGUGGGGAGCAAACAGG
rnacentral:rRNA from 1 species